rnacentral:rRNA from 1 species
CGCGAAUGGCUCAUUAUAACAGCUAUAAUUUACUUGGUCUUGACACAAUCCUACUUGGAUAACUGUGGUAAUUCUAGAGCUAAUACAUGCAUUAAAGCUCUGACCUCACGGGAAGAGUGCAUUUAUUAGAACAAAACCAAGCGGCUUCGGCUGUUUCUGGUUGACUCAUAGUAACUGAGCUGAUCGCAUGGUCUUGCACCGGCGACGUGUCUUUCAAGUAUCUGCCGUAUCAACUUUCGAUGGUAGUGUAUCUGACUACCAUGGUGAUCACGCGUAACGGAGAAUAAGGGUUCGGCUCCGGAGAGUUCGCCUGAGAAAUCGCGAACACAUCUAAGGAAGGCAGCAGGCGCGAACAUUACCCACUCUCAGCACGAGGAGGUAGUGACGAAAAAUAACGAGACCGUUCUCUUAUGAGGCCGGUCAUCGGAAUGGGUACAAUUUAAACCCUUUAACGAGUAUCUAUGAGAGGGCAAGUCUGGUGCCAGCAGCCGCGGUAAUUCCAGCU